UACGGAAGGCAGCAGUGGGGAAUAUUGCACAAUGGGCGCAAGCCUGAUGCAGCCAUGCCGCGUGUAUGAAAAAGGCCUUCGGGUUGUAAAGUACUUUCAGUCGUGAGGAAGGUGUUAAGGUUAAUAACCUUAGCAAUUGACGUUAGCGACAGAAGAAGCACCGGCUAACUCCGUGCCAGCAGCCGCGGUAAUACGGAGGGUGCGAGCGUUAAUCGGAAUUACUGGGCGUAAAGGGCACGCAGGCGGUUAAUUAAGUUGGAUGUGAAAUCCCCGGGCUUAACCUGGGAAUGGCAUUCAAGACUGGUUAGCUAGAGUCUUGUAGAGGGGGUUAGAAUUCCAUGUGUAGCGGUGAAAUGCGUAGAGAUGUGGAGGAAUACCGGUGGCGAAGGCGGCCCCUGGACAAGACUGACGCUCAUGUGCGAAAGCGUGGGGAGCAAACGAGGGAUUAGAUACC
rnacentral:rRNA from 1 species